GUCCCUGUAGUGCAAUGGAUAGCACGUUGGAUUUUUAAUCCAUAGGUCGUUGCCUCGAAUCGCACCUGGGAUA